rnacentral:rRNA from 1 species
GACGAACGCUGGCGGCGUGCUUAACACAUGCAAGUCGAACGGAAAGGCCCUGCUUUUGUGGGGUGCUCGAGUGGCGAACGGGUGAGUAACACGUGAGUAACCUGCCCUUGACUUUGGGAUAACUUCAGGAAACUGGGGCUAAUACCGGAUAGGAGCUCCUGCUGCAUGGUGGGGGUUGGAAAGUUUUGGCGGUUGGGGAUGGACUCGCGGCUUAUUAGCUUGUUGGUGGGGUAGUGGCUUACCAAGGCUUUGACGGGUAGCCGGCCUGAGAGGGUGACCGGCCACAUUGGGACUGAGAUACGGCCCAGACUCCUACGGGAGGCAGCAGUGGGGAAUAUUGCACAAUGGGCGGAAGCCUGAUGCAGCAACGCCGCGUGCGGGAUGACGGCCUUCGGGUUGUAAACCGCUUUCGCCUGUGACGAAGCGUGAGUGACGGUAAUGGGUAAAGAAGCACCGGCUAACUACGUG